GACGAACGCUGGCGGCGUGCUUGACACAUGCAAGUCGAACGGAAAGGCCUGCUUUCCCUUGUGGAUUGCGGGUACUCGAGUGGCGAACGGGUGAGUAACACGUGAGUGAUCUGCCCCCAACUUGGGUAUAAGCCUGGGAAACUGGGUCUAAUUCCCGAUAGGACUGCAGGGUGGUGCCUGUGGUGGAAAACGAUUUUCUAGUGGUUGGGGAUGAGCUCGCGGCCUAUCAGCUUGUUGGUGGGGUAAUGGCCUACCAAGGCGGCGACGGGUAGCCGGCCUGAGAGGGUGGACGGCCACAUUGGGACUGAGAUACGGCCCAGACUCCUACGGGAGGCAGCAGUGGGGAAUAUUGCACAAUGGGCGGAAGCCUGAUGCAGCGACGCCGCGUGGGGGAUGACGGCCGUCGGGUUGUAAACUCCUUUCGACCGCGAGGAAGCCACCUGGUGGGAAGGGUGGUGACGGUAGUGGUAGAAGAAGCACCGGCUAACUACGU
rnacentral:rRNA from 1 species